GGCAGUGUGGUGUAGUGGUGUGAGUGUUGGACUAGGAUUCCAGGGGACCCGGGUUCAAAUCCUCACUCUGCUA